UGCCACCAAACCUCUCCCGUCGCUAUCCCUGCACCCAGCACCAUCACAGAACCAUCCUUGCUCUUUCACGGCACCCUACACGUCGGAAACACCACAAGGCAGCAACCCAUGAGUUGCAUGCUCUUCCGCACGCAUCACUGCCCUGCACCACCGUUUGCUAGCCACUGCCUAGUUACACUAGAGCUAACAACCGGAAACCACUCAGCCAUCCCGUGUUUCGACCAUCUCCUGCAACCACGAGAACUAGUAACUCAAGUCCAGCUCAGCCACAUGAAACCGAAACCACCCCUGUUUUUGAUUCCCGAAAACAGAGCAAGGGAAGCUCUCCCCAUACUCUCGGUUUCCAGCCUUGCUACACUCCGGAAACUACCCAAAAAACCCACAGAAAUCGCCGUCCGUUUCCCCCUCGGGUCCGACAUUAGGCAGGCCGCGCCACCCAGUGCCGCCCUCUUCUCCACCACUUCGCAGCGGUCUCACGGUGACGUUUGAUUUUUGUUCAAUAUUAUUAUGGAGGAAUUCUGAUAAGUUAAGAAAUCCAGGUAAGCGAGAUUCCUAUACUAGACUUUGUAUAAAAGAAAUGAAUUGAGAUUAAUUUUGGAAAAGUUUGCAUGUUUUGUUAUGAAAAUAAUUUUGAAACACCUUAGCUAUUUGUUUGGCAUUACUCAUGAAAUCUUGUAUAAGAAUAAGGCAUUUUCUGGCAUGACUGGUAUAGACAUGAGCUAUUUUGAUAUUUUAUUUCUAGACUGUGCAAAAGAGAGCGAAUAUGAAAUUUUGUGCAUAAAUCAUAUUUUUGUAAUCUGAUUCUGUUAUACUUUGAAAAUAUUUUGUAUUGUGAUAUGAUAUGAUGUGAUUUCUAAAAACCUCUGGCAUGAUAUUCUGCUUCUAUUUCUAUUCUGUUCUGACCUUACCACGUGUGUAAAAACUGUGACCUCUGUUCGGAUUGGUACCAACUUUUCUGUUUCUGGUGCACCCACUUUGGAAGCAAAGUGGUUUUUUGCAUGUUCUUUCCUGUGUGCACACUCAGGGCUCCAAGAAUAAUAAGGAGAAGAUUCAUAUUCUGUUUCUGCUCGGUUGGUCAUCGGGGUUUGCACAACCCUACCACGAGGUUUAAACAUAGAAUUCUAUUCUGAUGUAAUGUUUCAGUUAUGCUAUGCCAAAGGAACUCUGAAUAAGAAUAUUUUUCUGAAACUUUCGCUCUAAUAUUUUUGAUAACAUGUUCUGAUUCUGCAUUCUGAAAGUAAAACCAUUUUGUUCUGCAUCUUGAACUCUGUAAAUGCUCAUGUUUGCACACUAGUAUAUGUUCUCUACUUCCUGAAUUGUUGAUAACUCACCCUUUAUCUCAAAAUAUUUUUCAGAUUGUUUUGAUAGUUUAGCUAAAGAAUAAGAGUAAGAAGUUUUAGUAAGGUGUGAUGAUAGUAGUAGAAUAAGUGCUUAUUUGAGAGUUGUAGUUAGUAAAUUGAUUUAUUUUUGGAUAUGUUGAUUUGAUGAGUUAAGGAUAUUUUCGAGUCUUUGGGAGUUUUUAAUUUAUGUUAUUGAGAAUUUCUUUGUUGUCCCUAUGAAGGAACAUGGAUAUUUGGUUUGAGUGAAGAAAUAAAUAUUUUAUGAAGUUUUCUAGAUUUUAUAGUUGUGACAUUUAAGUGGAUAUUAAGUAAUAAGAGCUAACUCUUCAGACCUUCGGGAACGGGAUGUACAAGGCAGGUGCCCGGUAUGUGUUAAAACAGAAAAUAGAAAACAAAAAAUAGAAAAUAGAAAAAUUGAGAUGAACAAGUGAUGUGGAGAAACUCUUUUCUCAUAUAUGAUUUAUGUUACAUGGAACUUGAUAUAUAUAUAUACACUGCUACAAGAACAGAAAGACAAAAAGAAAACUUCUAAAAUACAUCUUUUUACUCUGCUACUAAAUUACAGAUUGUCAAUCUCAGCUUUUUGGACAGCAUGGUGUAUGCAGUGCUUUGUGCAUCGAGGUCCUGGCUUUUUCUGUGCAGUCAUGUAUUCUUUCAAUUGAUGUUUUGUGUUUAUGUGCCAAUACUUUCUCCUUUCUGCUGUUUUCUUCUUUUUGUAUUUUGCAGCACACUUUUAUUUACUUUUUCAGCUGCAUGCUUUCCUUGAGUGUUGCAGAUUGUUGCAGGUCUAUUUUGGUUGCUACAUGUACUACUUUGUGAGUUGUAGUCUUGAUGUUUAGUGUCCUCAUGUCCUUCUUGCUUGUUCUUGAUUUCUUUGCUUUUUACUUCAUGAUAGUAUGAGUACCUCAUCCCAAUGACUAAUAAAUGUCAUAUAAUAAAUUUAUAAAAGUGUUCGUAAAAAAAUUAAGGAAAAUGCAAGUAAUAUAUUUUUUUCCUAACUUAUAUCUAGGGACAACAUGAUACACUGAGUAGAUCGAUAAUUUUAAUAUAAAUUUCUCAAAUGAAAAUAUAAUUGAUAUAAACUUAAAUUGAUUUGUUUCUGUUUGUAGAUAAAGUCAUAAGAUGUAAUACAAGUAAUAAAAAGAUACCAUGGUUUAUUAAAAAUAUAAGAAAUUUCUUCAUUUAAAGGGGAAUUUUAUGGACAAAACACAGAAAUAGCAGAGUCCAAUACAUAUUCCCAAAAGCCCUAUCCAUUCUUGAUCUCUUUAGUAAACAAAUUAUCUUCUCUGUAUGUGAAAUUUGAUCUUUGAAAACUAAGAUCAUUUAAAAUUUUAAACCACGUAAACUCUUCUACAGCUUCUCGAAUUCUUUCGAUUUGGCUAUAAGAUCUGAAAUUUGACCCAAACACAUCCAAACUUUAUCCGUUCGUUGCUCUCAAUUAUAGAGUCCAACUCUCUCUUCUUCUAGCAGAAGUGGGAUUCCCAUAAAAUCCACUUAGAACAAAUUCCUCUCCAGCUUCCAUAUAAUUAACAGUAAGAGAUCAAAAUUUUUUGUAGUGGAUAGAGCUGUGAUAGAUGGAGAUGUCGAAAUGUUGGCGUACAUCUUACCCCAUUGGGUUCAGAUUCGAUCCCGAUGACGAAGUGUUGGUGUCUUUUUAUCUAUGGCGGAAAGUACAGGGGCUGGAUCUACCGAAUGGUCCCAUCGUUGAAGCCGAAGUCUAUGCUCAUGAACCGUGGUUUCUUCACUCUUGGUGCAUGUAGAUGGUAAUGAUCUUGCAUACAUGGCCGUGAACAAUGAUCGAUAAUUUUUUGUGAAGAGAGAGCCAGUAUCUAGAAACGGUAACGGGAAGAGAAUCAAAAGGGAUCUGGAAGGGGAUUCUGAUGGAGGUUGGUGGAAAGCCAACACCAGAGACAUGGAAAUUAAAGACUCGGAGGGUCACCUCGCACUACAACAAAUAUGGCUUUUAGUGACAGAUUAUAAAUAGUGACGGUUUCCAAACUGUGACAGUUUGUGAGAACUGUCACUAAAUGUUAGGCAAGAAUUUUAAAACAUUCGGACGUUUGACAUAAUACGUUCACACAUCACAAUAACGUUCGAAUGUUAUGUAUAUUGACGUGCAAACGUAAAAUUUUUAGCGCGAACAUUCGAACGUUUUAUCUAA